UGGGGAAUUUUGCACAAUGGGGGAAACCCUGAUGCAGCGACGCCGCGUGAUUUAGAAGGCCUUCGGGUUGUAAAAAUCUUUUCUAUGGGAAGAAAAUGACAGUACCAUAGGAAUAAGGACCGGCUAAUUACGUGCCAGCAGCCGCGGUAAUACGUAAGGUCCGAGCGUUGUCCGGAAUCAUUGGGCGUAAAGGGUACGUAGGCGGGUAAGCAAGUUAGAAGUGAAAUCCUAUAGCUCAACUAUAGUAAGCUUUUAAAACUGCUCAUCUUGAGGUAUGGAAGGGAAAGUGGAAUUCCUAGUGUAGCGGUGAAAUGCGCAGAUAUUAGGAGGAAUACCGGUGGCGAAGGCGACUUACUGGGCUCAUUCUGACGCUGAGGAACGAAAGCGUGGGUAGCAAACAGG
rnacentral:rRNA from 1 species